CCGACCUUAGCUCAGUUGGAAGAGCGCGAGACUGUAAUGGAUAACGUCAUCUUGAGGUCGCCUGUUCGAGCCAGGCAGGUCGGA
rnacentral:tRNA from 1 species